CAGAUUGUCAAUGAAGCUGCAAAAUUCAGAUACCCAACUGGAAACCAAUUUAACUGUGGAGGCUAGGACAACUGUGAUUUUCUUCGUUGUUUACAAUAGAGUUAUGGCACCGGAUAUGAGGCAGAAAUGAGCGAAAAUAGUGUUAGACCAGCAGCAUAGUGAAAAUUAUGAUGCUGACGGAGAAAUGGAAAAUAUGCAUGACAGUGAUAGCUUUGGUGUAGAUGAAGCAUAUCAAAGUAAAUCAAGGAAAUCAAGAUAUGAGAUCUCAGCUUCAACAAAUUGGAAGGAAGUAUUCCUGAUAUUGAAGAUCUUAUCUGAACAGGAUGUCAAGUUAAAGUUCGAGCUAUCUGACAGCAGUUAUAUCAAAGAGAUUCUAAUAACAACAUUGGAAGGCAGAAUGCUUUGGAACAAUAUGUAUAUCGGCCUUUGAUGUUCAAGUAGAUAGGGCACAUAUGUAUUAGAAUGCUUUUCUCGUUUUAAUGUUGAAUGAUUGGGAAAUGCUCCAUUUUAACUUUUUAGGCAUAUGGAAUGGAUUGGAUUACUCAUUUGAUGGCUUGCAAUGUGUUUUCUUUUCAAUUGA